rnacentral:rRNA from 1 species
AAGUCGAGCGGAAACGGCAACAUUGACUCUUCGGAUGAUUUGUUGGACGUCGAGCGGCGGACGGGUGAGUAAUGCUUAGGAAUUUGCCCAGUCGAGGGGGAUAACUAUUGGAAACGAUAGCUAAUACCGCAUACGCCCUACGGGGGAAAGAGGGGGACCUUCGGGCCUCUUGCGAUUGGAUAAGCCUAAGUGAGAUUAGCUAGUUGGUGAGGUAAGAGCUCACCAAGGCGACGAUCUCUAGCUGGUCUGAGAGGAUGAUCAGCCACACUGGGACUGAGACACGGCCCAGACUCCUACGGGAGGCAGCAGUGGGGAAUAUUGCACAAUGGGGGAAACCCUGAUGCAGCCAUGCCGCGUGUGUGAAGAAGGCCUUCGGGUUGUAAAGCACUUUCAGCAGUGAGGAAGAUGUGUAGAUUAAUACUCUGCACAUUUGACGUUAGCUGCAGAAGAAGCACCGGCUAACUCCGUGCCAGCAGCCGCGGUAAUACGGAGGGUGCGAGCGUUAAUCGGAAUUACUGGGCGUAAAGCGCAUG